rnacentral:lncRNA from 1 species
ACUCAAACCAGCUGUAUUAAGGAAGGUGCAAGCUUUUGGGAUUUCUGUUUGGAUUUAGUUUAGGUUCAAAAGAGCACGCACAGAUCCUGAGUGUUGUCAAGCACCCGUGACUGGGAAACGGAGGCGUCCGAUCCGUAUUGGAGUCAAUUCGCCACUUAAUUGAACACAGCCUCGAAGGGAAGGGCCAUAUUUGUGGGCCUGUCUAACAAUUAAGAGUGACCACAUGGAAUGGGGGAUGAAAGGGUUAAAGAAGAACAAAUAUUGAACACAGCUUUUCUAUGAACAAACUGCAGGCAGCUGCUGCUUUGCAAGGGAAGCAGUUGAUUGAGAAUAAUGGUUCUGUUUUGGAGGUUGAUGGAAGAUGCCCUUUGGCCAGGAAAACAGCUCAUGCUUUUAGAGGAGGAUAAUUGCCAGAAGGCCUCUCUGAAUAAAAAAAAAUCCUGACCUCACAGCCUUUGCGCUUACUUGGGUUAGAAUGCCACAGUGAACAUUGCCCCUUGUCAUCACGUAGAGGUGCUCACAGAAAAACCCUUUGAAAAGAUUCAGCACGUUGCCAUGGAGAACAUCCCACUGAAGGAAUGUAUAGAAGUAGCAGGGUUAACUGAGUGCCUUCCAUCUUCCCUCCAAGGGAUCUGCAAUGAGAUGGGAGAAGGCAACAGGCUGUGUGGGAACCACUGAAGCUGGGAUGGCAGGGAAAGAACAUCUUAGGCUAACUCUUCAAGCCUUGCUGUCACAUUUGCUUUUGAGUCUAUGGUGUCAGCUGCCUACCAGUUGCUUUCAUCUCUAGAAAUCUGUGACUUGCAGUAUGACAAGAACAAAAGGUGACAAUACAAAGGACAAAGGGCAAGGAAUACAGACGGAGAAGCCGCUUAGAGUCUAGGAUGGCAGAGGUUCUCUUGAUCAUUUCAUUUUUGAGCGCUUGUAGAGCUUUGGUGUACCAGAGGUGCUUGAACAGCUUACCACACCACAGAUGAAUGGCCUUUGGAUUUCUCCUAAGAAAAUGUGGCUACCUGAAAUUCAACUCCAUUUUCUGGUCUUCAAUAUUUCUUUUGUGUUCAGUUUGCCAGCUGAGGAGAAGUGGCUAAGCAUAGCCUGUUACUGAUGCUAAAGCCCAAGUUCUGAACCUAACAACUCCAGCAACAUGAUCCUGUUUCAAGAGACAAAAAAGUGACUAAU